rnacentral:rRNA from 1 species
GACGAACCACACGAACGUUAUUCGGAAUUACUGGGCUUAAAGGGUGCGUAGGCUGUGCGGAAAGUUAGGUGUGAAAUCCCCCGGCUCAACCGGGGAAUUGCGCUUAAAACUACCGUGCUAGAGGAAUACAGAGGUGAGCGGAACUUCGGGUGGAGCGGUGAAAUGCGUUGAUAUCCGAAGGAACACCGGUGGCGAAGGCGGCCACCUGGGCGGAUACUGACGCUGAGACGCGAAAGCGUGGGGAGCAAACAGG